rnacentral:rRNA from 1 species
UACGUAGGGUGCAAGCGUUGUCCGGAAUUAUUGGGCGUAAAGAGCUACGUAGGCGGUUUGUCGCGUCUGCUGUGAAACCGAGGCUCAACCUCGGGCCUGCAGUGGGUACGGGGCAGACUAGAGUGCGGUAGGGGAGAUUGGAAUUCCUGGUGUAGCGGUGGAAUGCGCAGAUAUCAGGAGGAACACCAAUGGCGAAGGCAGAUCUCUGGGCCGUAACUGACGCUGAGGAGCGAAAGCAUGGGGAGCGAACAGG